UAGUCAUCAUGGCCUUUAUGGAGUGGGCUACACACGUGCUACAAUGGUGGCUACAAUGGGCUGCAAAGUCGCGAGGCUAAGCUAAUCUCUUAAAAGCCAUCUCAGUUCGGAUUGUACUCUGCAACUCGAGUACAUGA
rnacentral:rRNA from 1 species